rnacentral:lncRNA from 1 species
UUACAUCCAGUCUGCAGUUAAAGUUUUUAAAACAUUUAUUAGAUUCAUAAACUAUCCUGGAUUUUUACCAAACUUGGACAGAAGCUUCUUACAAUCAAAAGAUAGUAUCAAGGGGAAUAUUUUUAUUGAUUUUUUCCCUCAAUUUUGUUGAGCCUGCAAUUUACAGCAAAAGUAGGCGAGACACUGGGUUCUGCGGAACCCUUACAAAUUUU